GUUACUGUAAUAAAAUGACUAUUUUAAUAUGAAUUUUGAAUAAAGAUAUUUAUUUAAUUUUUUAAGGUUUUCGUUAUUUUGUUGUGAUUUUUCGAAUUUUUAAGACAAAAUAUAUAAGUCUAACUUUCGAAGGAUACUGAGCAGCCGCAGAUUUGCUUUUUAGGUUUGUUUACAUUACUGGGUAUCAACGUUUCGUGUUUUAUCGAGUCAUGUAUUCUGGAUAAUUUUGAUAUUGUUUGCAAACUCCAGAGGCAUACAGGAAAUGUUCCUUCUAUUAUUUCUGCGGUAGCAACCGCUGUCAUGUGCUGCAUAAGGUUUUAUUGGAGCCUACCACUUAACAUUCGAAGGGCAUUGAAUUCAGAAUCAAGCUCUAAUCCACGAAUUACAUUUAAAAAUGUACAUAAGACAGCUAAGCAAUUAACAGAAGA